rnacentral:rRNA from 1 species
CCUACGGGUGGCAGCAGUGAGGAAUAUUGGUCAAUGGACGAGAGUCUGAACCAGCCAAGUCGCGUGAAGGAUGACUGCCCUAUGGGUUGUAAACUUCUUUUAUAUGGGAAUAAAAUGUUCCACGUGUGGGUUUUUGUAUGUACCAUAUGAAUAAGGAUCGGCUAACUCCGUGCCAGCAGCCGCGGUAAUACGGCGGAUCCAAGCGUUAUCCGGAUUUAUUGGGUUUAAAGGGUGCGUAGGUGGUUUGUUAAGUCAGAUGUGAAAGUUUGCGGCUCAACCGUAAAAUUGCAUUUGAAACUGUCAGUCUUGAGUACAGUAGAGGUGGGCGGAAUGCGUGGUGUAGCGGUGAAAUGCUUAGAUAUCACGAAGAACUCCGAUUGCGAAGGCAGCUCACUGGACUGCAACUGACACUGAGGCUCGAAAGUGUGGGUAUCAAACAGGAUUAGAUACCCGGGUAGUC